ACACACUCUCUCUCUCUCUCCUCUGCAUCACCGUUUUCCAUCAACCUCUCUAUCAAACACAAACACUCUCCCCACUCGUUCCUCCCACGCAUCACAUCACAUUCACAUUCUUCAAACUUUAUCUCCCUUCUCAAAUCAAUAAACCCAAACUUGCAUUAAUUCAAUACAACAAAUCCAAGAAACAAACAUACCCCACAUACAACAACGACCACUUUACCUUAUUUAAUCACCACCACCCACACAUCUUUCCAUUUCUCAUCUUGGGUUAUCACUCAUUUCCAUUUACUUCACAUACACGCAAUCAAAAUCCAACCUUUUCAUAUCUCUCCUAUGUAACUGUUUCCAAAUUCUAA